rnacentral:rRNA from 1 species
GAUGAACGCUGGCGGCGUGCUUAACACAUGCAAGUCGAACGAUGAAGCCCAGCUUGCUGGGUGGAUUAGUGGCGAACGGGUGAGUAACACGUGAGUAACCUGCCCUUAACUCUGGGAUAAGCCUGGGAAACUGGGUCUAAUACCGGAUAGGAGCGUCCACCGCAUGGUGGGUGUUGGAGAGAUUUAUCCGUUUUGGAUGGACUGGGGGCUUAUCAGCCUGUUGGAGAGGUAAUGGCUAACGAAGGCGACGACGGGUAGCCGGCGUGAGUGGGGGACCGUCGGCAAUGGGACUGAGACACGGCGCAGACUCCAACGGGAGGCAGCAGUGGGGAAUAUUGCACAGUGGGCGCAAGCCUGAUGCAGCGGCGCCGCGUGUGGGAUGACGGCCUUCGGGUUGUAAACCUCUUUCAGUAGGGAAGAAGCUAAAGUGACGGUACCUGCAGAAGAAGCACCGGCUAACUACGUG